CAGUGCAUUCUGACCGCUGUUACAUCUUGAGCGCUGUUUUCAGGAAGCCAGUGAGAAUCUGGCGCGGUCGCGCCACUGUCACCGUAUGCCAUGCGGGAGCCAGACCCUGAACGCCGCAAAGUCCGUAAU
rnacentral:ncRNA from 2 species